rnacentral:rRNA from 1 species
GACGAAGGGGGCUAGCGUUGUUCGGAAUUACUGGGCGUAAAGCGCGUGUAGGCGGUUGUUCAAGUCAGGUGUGAAAGCCUUGAGCUCAACUCAAGAAAUGCACUUGAUACUGGAUGACUAGAGGACCGGAGAGGAUAGUGGAAUUCCCAGUGUAGUGGUGAAAUACGUAGAGAUUGGGAAGAACACCAGUGGCGAAGGCGGCUAUCUGGACACAUAUUGACGCUGAGGUGCGAAAGCGUGGGGAGCAAACAGG